rnacentral:rRNA from 1 species
GAUGAACGCUGGCGGCGUGCCUAAUACAUGCAAGUCGAGCGAACAGAUGAGGAGCUUGCUCCUCUGACGUUAGCGGCGGACGGGUGUGUAACACGUGGAUAACCUACCUAUAAGACUGGGAUAACUUCGGGAAACCGGAGCUAAUACCGGAUAAUAUAUUGAACCGCAUGGUUCAAUAGUGAAAGACGGUUUUGCUGUCACUUCUAGAUGGAUCCGCGCCGCAUUAGCUAGUUGGUAAGGUCACGGCUUACCAAGGCAACGAUGCGUAGCCGACCUGAGAGAGGGAUCGGCCACACUGGAACUGAGACACGGUCCAGACUCCUACGGGAGGCAGCAGUAGGGAAUCUGCCGCAAUGGGCGAAAGCCUGACGGAGCAACGCCGCGUGAGUGAUGAAGGUCUUCGGAGCGUAAAACUCUGUUAUUGGGGAAGAACAAAUGUGUAAGUAACUAUGCACGUCUUGACGGUACCUAAUCAGAAAGCCACGGCUAACUACGUG